CCUACGGGAUGCUGCAGUGGGGAAUAUUGGGCAAUGGAGGAAACUCUGACCCCGCAACGCCGCGUGAAGGAUGAAGUUUUUCGGAUUUUACCCUUCUGUCGCGAGGGAUGAUGAAUGACGGUACCUCGUAAGAAAGCCCCGGCAAACUACGUGCCAGCGGCCUCGGUAAUACGUAGGAGGCGAGCGUUGUCCGGAAUGACUGGGCGUAAAGGGAGUGUAGGCGGCAUAUUAAGUUAUGUGUGAAAUCCCGCGGCUCAACCGCGGAAUUGCACAUAAAACUGGUAAGCUGGAGUGCAGGAUAGGUAAGUGGAAUUCCCGGUGUAGCGGGGGAAUGCGUAGAGAGCGGGAGGAACACCAGAGGCGAAGGCGACUUACUGGACUGUAACUGACGCUGAGGCUCGAAAGCGUGGGGAGCAAACAGGAUUAGAUACCCGAGUAGUC
rnacentral:rRNA from 1 species